AGGGUUGUGGCUCAGUGGUAGAGCACUUACCUCACAUGUGUGAAGCAUUGGGUUCGAUUCUCUGCACUG
rnacentral:tRNA from 1 species